rnacentral:rRNA from 1 species
AAACUUGGGCUAAUACCGGAUGUGUGUAGUGGCUAUUUUUCUGAUUAUCAUUAUUUACGUAAGUGAGUAAUAAUAAGAAGGGAAAGUGCGUUAUUACAUAAAAGGUGGCGUAACUGCCGCUUGGGGAUGAGCCUUGCGUUCCUUAUUUAGUUAGUUUGGUGAGGUAACGGCUUUACCAAGGCGAUGAUAGGUAGGCGGCCUUAACGGGUGGUCGCCCACACUUGGGAUUUGAGAUUACGGCCCAGACUUCCUUACGGGAGGCAGCAGUUCGAGAAUAGUUCUACAAUGGACGGAAGUCUGAUAGUGCGACGCCGCGUGAACGAAGAAUCCCUUCGGGGUGUAAAGUUCUUUUAUACGUGAGCAGUGUCCUUUAUAUUAAUAGUAUAAGGGGAGAGAUAUUAGCGUAUGAAUAAGCAACGGCUAACUCCGUGCCAGCAGCCGCGGUAACACGGGGGUUGCGAGCGUUGUCCGGAAUUACUAGGCGUAAAGUGCAGGUAGGCGGAUAAAUAAGUUUAAGGUUAAAGGCUACGGCUUACCCGUAGUAAGGCGUUAGAUACUGUUUAUCUGGAAUGCGGUUGAGGGAGACAGAAUUCCUGGUGUAGCGGUGGAAUGCGCAGAGAUCAGGAGGAAUACCGAAGGCGAAGGCAGUCUUCUAAGCCGAUAUUGACGCUAAACUGCGAAGGUGUGGGGAUCAAACAGGAUUAGAUACCCUGGUAGUCCACACAGUAAACGAUAAUCACUAGGUGUUGGGUUCUUAAGAGGAUUCAGUGCCGGAGUAACGCGAUAAGUGAUUCGCCUGGGGAGUACGAUCGCAAGGUUGAAACUCAAAGGAAUUGACGGGGGCCCGCACAAGCGGUGGAGCAUGUGGUUUAAUUCGAUGCAACGCGAAGAACCUUACCUGGACUUGACAUGCUGGUGGUAGAAUCCUGAAAGGGAGACGACGGUCGCAAGAUCGAGCCAGCACAGGUGCUGCAUGCCUGUCGUCAGCUCGUGCCGUGAGGUGUUGGGUUAAGUCCCGCAACGAGCGCAACCCCUGUGGUUAGUUGCCCUUAUUCAGUUAGGCACUCUAGCCAGACUGCCUGUGAUAAGCAGGAGGAAGGUGGGGAUGACGUCAAGUCAGUAUGGUCCUUAUGUCCAGGGCUGCACACGUGCUACAAUGACCAGCACAGAAGGAAGCAAUACCGCGAGGUGGAGCUAAUCCCCAAAACUGGUCUCAGUUCGGAUUGGAGUCUGCAACCCGACUCCAUGAAGCUGGAAUCGCUAGUAACGGCGCAUCAGCUACGGCGCCGUGAAUACGUUCCCGGGUC